rnacentral:rRNA from 1 species
AGAUUGAACGCUGGCGGAAUGCUUUACACAUGCAAGUCGAACGGCAGCACGGGGCAACCUGGUGGCGAGUGGCGAACGGGUGAGUAAUACAUCGGAACGUGCCCAAUCGUGGGGGAUAACGUAGCGAAAGUUACGCUAAUACCGCAUACGAUCUACGGAUGAAAGCGGGGGAUCGCAAGACCUCGCGCGAAUGGAGCGGCCGAUGUCAGAUUAGGUAGUUGGGUGGGGUAAAGGCUCACCAAGCCAACGAUCUGUAGCUGGUCUGAGAGGACGACCAGCCACACUGGAACUGAGACACGGUCCAGACUCCUACGGGAGGCAGCAGUGGGGAAUUUUGGACAAUGGGCGCAAGCCUGAUCCAGCCAUUCCGCGUGCAGGAUGAAGGCCUUCGGGUUGUAAACUGCUUUUGUACGGAACGAAACGGUCUGCCCUAAUACGGCGGGCUAAUGACGGUACCGUAAGAAUAAGCACCGGCUAACUACGUG